UCUAGCUCGGGGUUUCUGGUGACCAGUAGGAGACCCUUCUAGGGGGUGGCGCUUCCCAGGGUACCAAGCGAACUUUGGCCAGAGAAUUCACUCAGUGAGUUGCCCCUGCCCAUAGAAUGGGAGUGUAGCCCUUGAAAAUGCAGGUGUCCUCAAGAUGGGAAACCUCAAAAUUCAGUCCUGGGGUGUGUGUGUGUGCGUAGGGGGUGGGGGUUGGUGGCCGUUUCUGGAGAGAUCUCAAAGUUGGGUAGGUGCAAAGGUUUCCAAGGCGGCCGCUUUGGGCCAGGAUGCUUUGGUCGUCCGCUGGCAGUGCGGAGGCUGUCCAGCCAGGACCCCGAGCUUACCACCUCGCUCCCUCAGGCGCUCUCCAGCCCCGGAUUUAUCCGAGCCCCACGCAGCCCAGGUGAGCCCUCAAAAGAGAAGACGGUGGACUUGAAGACAUAGUGGUGGAAACCAGCCCAAAUGAAACAGCCCACACAGGAUAGAAAGCACAACGGUAAAAGCACACACGUGAGCUUCGGUAGGGAUCGCCAGGAAGCAUAUUUGAAGAAACAGUGACAAAGCUAACCCCAACUGAAUGAUAACUUUGAACCCAAGGAGCAUCAUGAAGUUCAGGCACAAGAAACCAGUGGAUGGCAUCUUUCAAAUACUCAAAAGGUUUUCAGCCCAGAAUUCACAGGCAGGAAAAUUUAAAAAUAAUAUCGAUUUAUUUACUUAAA